rnacentral:piRNA from 1 species
ACCUACAGUGGAACCUUGUAAGA